rnacentral:snRNA from 1 species
CUUCUCAAGCUUCUCUCU